CGUGAGCAAUCUGCCUUGGAGUGGGGAAUAACGGUUGGAAACAGACCGCUAAUACCGCAUGAUACAGCUAUCCCGCAUGGGGUUGGCUGUCAAAGAUUUAUCGCUCUGAGAUGAGCUCGCGUCUGAUUAGCUUGUUGGCGGGGUAACGGCCCACCAAGGCGACGAUCAGUAGCCGGACUGAGAGGUUGGCCGGCCACAUUGGGACUGAGACACGGCCCAGACUCCUACGGGAGGCAGCAG
rnacentral:rRNA from 1 species